AGGAUGCUAGACAAAAGGCACAGCUUCUGAGGUGGGAGACUCACCACCUCUGUCUUCUAAUAGACCAGAUGUUCCAGGUCUAUGGAAGCAUGAAAGAUACCCUCAGCGGCUUGUAGUCAUUCAUUAUUUUUCCCUGAGGGGACUGAAGCAUUGAAAAUCCUAGCACACCAAGGUCCCUGAAGAACUUGGCCUUGAGUAAUGAGAACUCUGGAGAAGGCCGGAGGCCCAGCUUGGGGAUGUUAUGUAUACUAGCACGAGGAGGUGGGGCUAAAUGCUCAGCUUGAGUAUCCUUGAGACAAGAUGAAUUCCAGCCUGGACACCUGAGGCAGCGUAAAGAUAAUGAAUGCUCACCUCCUCUGACCCUUCAUAAGGAAUGCAGUUUACAAAAUGCUGAAGAGGGAGUUCCCGACUGCCUCAGUGUGGGGAAGUCCCACUACCAAUGCAGGUUCCUGCUAACACAAUUAUACGCCACUGCCAAAAGGAUCAGCCCUCUUGGGACAAGGAAAGUGGAUGGGAAAACCCAAAAGCUCACGGCAGAAUGGUAGCGUGGAAAAAGCGUGAGAUUUGGAAACGUAAGACCUAGAUUCAAAUCGAUCCUCUUGUACUUAUUUGUGGGACACUGGGCAAGUCACUGGGUUUCGGUUUCCCUAUUUGUAAAAUGAGAGGAUUGAACUAGUUCUCUGAAGUCAAAGGGUUAUGGAUCUGGACCUUGAAAAGGACCUGGAGGCCACCUAGUACAAACCCUCAUUUUACAGAUUAGAAGUUGAGGCUCAAGGGAACUGACUCGCCCAAGGUUACAAGGUUAGUAGUUUCAAAGUCCC